CCUACGGGUGGCUGCAGUGAGGAAUAUUGGUCAAUGGGCGCGAGCCUGAACCAGCCAAGUAGCGUGAAGGAUGACUGCCCUACGGGUUGUAAACUUCUUUUAUAAAGGAAUACAGUGAGUCAUGUGUGCCUUUUUGUAUGUACUUUAUGAAUAAGGAUCGGCUAACUCCGUGCCAGCAGCCGCGGUAAUACGGAGGGUCCGAUCGUUAUCCGGAUUUAUUGGGUUUAAAGGGAGCGUAGAUGGGUUGUUAAGUCAGUUGUGAAAGUUUGCGGCUCAACCGUAAAAUUGCAAUUGAUACUGGCAGCCUUGAGUACAGUAGAGGUAGGCGGAAUUCGUGGUGUAGCAGUGAAAUGCUUAGAUAUCACGAAGAACUCCGAUUGCGAAGGCAGCUUACUAAACUGCCACUGACAUUGAUGCUCGAAAGUGUGGGUAUCAAACAGGAUUAGAUACCCGAGUAGUC
rnacentral:rRNA from 1 species